rnacentral:rRNA from 1 species
UACGUAGGGUGCGAGCGUUAAUCGGAAUUACUGGGCGUAAAGGGUGCGCAGGCGGUUAUAUAAGACAGAUGUGAAAUCCCCGGGCUCAACCUGGGAACUGCGUUUGUGACUGUAUGACUAGAGUACGGUAGAGAGGGGUGGAAUUCCUGGUGUAGCAGUGAAAUGCGUAGAUAUCAGGAGGAACAUCGAGUGGCGAAGGCAGCCCCUUGGACCUGUACUGACGCUCAUGCACGAAAGCGUGGGGAGCAAACAGG